UGCGGAGGGUGCAAACGUUGCUCGGAGUUAUUGGGCGUAAAGCGCACGUAGGCGGUCCAGCAAGUCGGGUGUGAAAGCCCUCGGCUUAACCGAGGAAGUGCAUUCGAAACUACUGGACUUGAAUACUGGAGAGGAUCGCGGAAUUCCCGGUGUAGAGGUGAAAUUCGUAGAUAUCGGGAGGAACACCAGUGGCGAAGGCGGCGAUCUGGACAGAUAUUGACGCUGAUGUGCGAAAGCGUGGGGAGCAAACAGG
rnacentral:rRNA from 1 species